rnacentral:hammerhead_ribozyme from 2 species
AUCCAGCUGAUGAGUCCUGAAUGUGACGAGACGCGCGUCCUGGAU